AUCUUUUGGCACACACUACAUUAAAUGAUAAAGGUAAAGAAGAAAAAGCAGAAGAGGUGGAAUUCACAGUGUGUGACCGAUAGCGAAGUGGUACCGUGAGGGAAGGGUGAAAAGAACCCCCUGCCGGGGAGUGAAAUAGAACAUGAAA
rfam:Beta vulgaris subsp. vulgaris Bvchr4.sca001.con0071.1, whole genome shotgun sequence.